rnacentral:rRNA from 1 species
AGGGAAAGAGGGAGGCAUGCUUUACACAUGCAAGUCGAACGGUAACAACACUUCGGUGGCUGAAGACAGACGCAAGGGUACAUAAUACAUCGGAACGUGCCUAGCACUGGGGGAUAACUACUCGAAAGAGUAGCUAAUACCGCAUGAGAUCUAAGGAUGAAAGCAGGGGACCUUCGGGCCUUGCGCUACUAGAGCGGCUGAUGGCAGAUUAGGUAGUUGGUGGGAUAAAAGCUUACCAAGCCGACGAUCUGUAGCUGGUCUGAGAGGACGACCAGCCACACUGGGACUGAGACACGGCCCAGACUCCUACGGGAGGCAGCAGUGGGGAAUUUUGGACAAUGGGCGCAAGCCUGAUCCAGCAAUGCCGCGUGCAGGAUGAAGGCCUUCGGGUUGUAAACUGCUUUUGUACGGAACUAAAAGCCCUCUUCUAAUACAGGAGGGCCAUGACGGUACCGUAAGAAUAAGCACCGGCUAACUACGUG